UACGAGGGGGGCGAGCGUUAUUCGGAAUUAUUGGGCGUAAAGGGUGCGUAGGCGGCCUGACAAGUCUGAUGUGAAAUCCCUGGGCUCAACCCAGGGCCUGCAUCGGAAACUGUCGGGCUUGAGUAUGGGAGAGGUGAGUGGAAUUUCCGGUGUAGCGGUGAAAUGCGUAGAUAUCGGAAGGAACACCUGUGGCGAAAGCGGCUCACUGGACCAUUACUGACGCUGAGGCACGAAAGCUAGGGGAGCAAACAGG
rnacentral:rRNA from 1 species